rnacentral:rRNA from 1 species
AGAGUUUGAUCAUGGCUCAGAUUGAACGCUGGCGGCAGGCCUAACACAUGCAAGUCGAACGGAAACAUGCCUAGCUUGCUAGAUGAUGUCGAGUGGCGGACGGGUGAGUAAUACUUAGGAACAUGCCUUUAGGUGGGGGAUAACUAUUGGAAACGAUAGCUAAUACCGCAUAAUGUCUACGGACCAAAGGGGGCUUGCUCCCGCCUAGAGAGUGGCCUAAGCGAGAUUAUCUUGUUGGUGAGGUAAAGGCUCACCAAGGCGACGAUCUCUAGCUGUUCUGAGAGGAAGAUCAGCCACACUGGGACUGAGACACGGCCCAGACUCCUACGGGAGGCAGCAGUGGGGAAUAUUGCACAAUGGGGGAAACCCUGAUGCAGCCAUGCCGCGUGUGUGAAGAAGGCCUUCGGGUUGUAAAGCACUUUCAGUUGUGAGGAAAGGGAUUUGGUUAAUACCCAAGUUCUGUGACGUUAGCAACAGAAGAAGGACCGGCUAACUCCGUGCCAGCAGCCGCGGUAAUACGGAGGGUCCGAGCGUUAAUCGGAAUUACUGGGCGUAAAGCGCACGCAGGCGGUUUGUUAAGCUAGAUGUGAAAGCCCCGGGCUCAACCUGGGAAUAGCAUUUAGAACUGGCAGACUAGAGUCUUGGAGAGGGGAGUGGAAUUUCUGGUGUAGCGGUGAAAUGCGUAGAUAUCAGAAGGAACAUCAGUGGCGAAGGCGACUCCCUGGCCAAAGACUGACGCUCAUGUGCGAAAGUGUGGGUAGCGAACAGGAUUAGAUACCCUGGUAGUCCACACCGUAAACGCUGUCCACUAGCUGUUUGUGGAUUUAAUCCGUGAGUAGCGAAGCUAACGCGAUAAGUAGACCGCCUGGGGAGUACGGCCGCAAGGUUAAAACUCAAAUGAAUUGAUGGGGGCCCGCACAAGCGGUGGAGCAUGUGGUUUAAUUCGAUGCAACGCGAAGAACCUUACCUACUCUUGACAUACUAGAAACUUUUCAGAGAUGAAUUGGUGCCUUCGGGAAUCUAGAUACAGGUGCUGCAUGGCUGUCGUCAGCUCGUGUCGUGAGAUGUUGGGUUAAGUCCCGUAACGAGCGCAACCCUUGUCCUUAGUUGCCAGCACAUAAUGGUGGGAACUCUAAGGAGACUGCCGGUGACAAACCGGAGGAAGGUGGGGAUGACGUCAAGUCAUCAUGACCCUUAUGGGCUGGGCUACACACGUGCUACAAU